UACGUAGGGGGCAAGCGUUGUCCGGAUUUAUUGGGCGUAAAGAGCGUGUAGGCGGCCAGGUAGGUCCGUUGUGAAAACUGGAGGCUUAACCUCCAGCUGUCGAUGGAAACCAUCUGGCUAGAGUCCGGAAGAGGAGAGUGGAAUUCCUGGUGUAGCGGUGAAAUGCGCAGAUAUCAGGAAGAACACCCGUGGCGAAGGCGGUUCUCUGGGAAUGUCCUGACGCUGAGGAGCGAAAGUGUGGGGAGCGAACAGG
rnacentral:rRNA from 1 species